rnacentral:rRNA from 1 species
GAUGAACGCUAGCGGCAGGCCUAACACAUGCAAGUCGAGGGGUAUAGUAGCAAUACUAGAGACCGGCGCACGGGUGCGUAACGCGUAUGCAAUCUACCUUUUACAGGGGAAUAGCCCAGAGAAAUUUGGAUUAAUGCCCCAUAGUAUAUAAGAAUCGCAUGGUUUUUAUAUUAAAGUUCCAACGGUAAAAGAUGAGCAUGCGUCCCAUUAGUUAGUUGGUAAGGUAACGGCUUACCAAGACUAUGAUGGGUAGGGGUCCUGAGAGGGAGAUCCCCCACACUGGUACUGAGACACGGACCAGACUCCUACGGGAGGCAGCAGUGAGGAAUAUUGGACAAUGGGCGCAAGCCUGAUCCAGCCAUGCCGCGUGCAGGAAGACGCAUCUAUGGUGUGUAAACUGCUUUUGUACAGGAAGAAACACUCCCUCGUGAGGGAGCUUGACGGUACUGUAAGAAUAAGGAUCGGCUAACUCCGUGCCAGCAGCCGCGGUAAUACGGAGGAUCCAAGCGUUAUCCGGAAUCAUUGGGUUUAAAGGGUCCGUAGGCGGUUUAAUAAGUCAGUGGUGAAAGCCCAUCGCUCAACGAUGGAACGGCCAUUGAUACUGUUAGACUUGAAUUAUUAGGAAGUAACUAGAAUAUGUAGUGUAGCGGUGAAAUGCUUAGAUAUUACAUGGAAUACCAAUUGCGAAGGCAGGUUACUACUAAUGGAUGA